UCAGAUACAAGAAAAUGUACAAAGAAGAAUUUAUGCAUGACAAUGAAUGAAGAAGUAACAGUCUCGGAUGGAAUCUGAGAUUGACAAUGCAUGUUCUUCCUCACCUGCAUGUCCAGGGAUGGAUUUUGGACAAUGUCCGGUGUCCAGAGCAGCCGCCAGUAAACUUUUUUGAAGCCAAAGAUGUAAGAUGAGCAGAGAUCAGGGAGGAGGACGUGGUUCGGCCUGAAAUCGCCCACCCAUCGUCUCCGUGGCGCCCUCCCUCUGCUCUGCCCUAGUCCUCCUCCACUUCAACCAUGGCUUCCUCCUCCCACUCGAUUACAUUCUUUGCAUGUGACAAUCCAUAUUCAUCUAGUUAUGCACUCUCUCUAAUCACCAAAAUAGGGCACAUAAUCCUCAGAGCGGCCAUUAAGAAGAGAAUAGCAUGGAGAUUGGUGAUUAUCAUCCAUUUAAUACUUGAUAAUUAAGGAGUGAAUCACAUGAAGAUUUGUACUCCCUCCGUCUCAAUUUAUAAAGUCAUCUUAGAUUGUGCACCAUGACCAAGACGGAUAAAAAACAAGAGAAGUUAAUGUUAAUUUGCUAAUUAAUA
rnacentral:lncRNA from 1 species